UACGUAGGUGGCGAGCGUUGUCCGGAUUUACUGGGCGUAAAGAGCGCGCAGGCGGCUGGUCAAGUCCGAUGUGAAAGCUCCCGGCUUAACUGGGAAAUUGCAUCGGAAACUGAUCGGCUGGAAGGUGGGAGAGGGUAGCGGAAUUCCCGGUGUAGUGGUGAAAUGCGUAGAUAUCGGGAGGAGCACCAGUGGCGAAAGCGGCUACCUGGCCCAUUCUUGACGCUGAGGCGCGAAAGCUAGGGGAGCAAACGGG
rnacentral:rRNA from 1 species